UGACACAAUAUCAUUCAUAUUUGUCUAUAAAAGUCUUAUUAAGAAUAGACCUUUAUAACUUUGUCUCAGAAAAUGAGUAUUUUAGAAUAAAUACAUUUCAAAAAGAAUAUAUAUAUCGCUAAAGGGGGAUAAAUCCCGUAUGUCUUAAACGAUCAUUGUUUUCUUUCUAACUGUUCAUGUUUAGACUUUACUUUGAUCAUUGAUCAUUAUUUUUAGAGAUCACAUAAUCAUGUUUUUUGACUACUUUAGAAAUUGCAUAAUGUUUAGUUUUUUUUUUCUUUCAUUGACGGUACUUGUAAUUUUUUAAAUUAGAGGUUGAAUUAUCAACAUUCCCUUUGACUCAUAUCACAAGGGCGUUGAAGUGUAAAGUUCCAAAAAGAGGAUUAUUUAGACAUAUGACAUUCAUUUCAAAAAUAUGUUAAACAUCCUACAAAAAUG
rnacentral:lncRNA from 1 species